rnacentral:rRNA from 1 species
GAUGAACGCUGGCGGCGUGCCUAAUACAUGCAAGUCGAGCGAACGGACGAGAAGCUUGCUUCUCUGAUGUUAGCGGCGGACGGGUGAGUAACACGUGGAUAACCUACCUAUAAGACUGGGAUAACUUCGGGAAACCGGAGCUAAUACCGGAUAAUAUUUUGAACCGCAUGGUUCAAAAGUGAAAGACGGUCUUACUGUCACUUAUAGAUGGAUCCGCGCUGCAUUAGCUAGUUGGUAAGGUAACGGCUUACCAAGGCAACGAUGCAUAGCCGACCUGAGAGGGUGAUCGGCCACACUGGAACUGAGACACGGUCCAGACUCCCACGGGAGGCAGCAGUAGGGAAUCUUCCGCAAUGGGCGAAAGCCUGACGGAGCAACGCCGCGUGAGUGAUGAAGGUCUUCGGAUCGUAAAACUCUGUUAUUAGGGAAGAACAUAUGUGUAAGUAACUGUGCACAUCUUGACGGUACCUAAUCAGAAAGCCACGGCUAACUACGUG